GAGAGAGAGCUGAUGAGAAACUGCUGUUAGAGGAGAAGUUCAUUAAAAACCAGAGGAUUUAGUUAAGAAAGAUCAGUCAGGUGUUGGGUACCAGGUUGUGGGGUUAGUUUUGUUUUCCUUUUCAGCAUCACCGACUAUCCAGAAGAGGGCGCCAGUGGUUCGGUUUUGUCAGGAGGGCGCUGACAGGUUCAACAGGACGCACCUGACUGAUAUCAUCAUCACCUCCCAGGAGGAGUAUAUUAGCAGCGGGCUUCCAGCACUUCUCUGCCAGAGUGUUUGCGUUUAGUGGUACAUCAGGCCCCUGAGUCACCAUUCAGAGUAGUUUCUAGGUUUCUUCGUGCAGUUUUUCAUCAGUUUCAUGUCACUCUUUUUUUUCAGGAGGCCUUCAAGUGUCCCUGGAGAAGUUUUCCCAAGUCCUACUAGCUUUGGAUUACCCUUUGAAAACUCCUCUCUAGCUGGGAGCUCGCUUCGCACCGCUGGUCCUCUACGCCUCCACUCUGAUCUACCUGUCUGCCCUCCAACGCCACGUCCGUCGUCGGCCUUCCAACGUCCGCUUCUCUAACUCCAUUACUUGGAAUCAGUCCCCUCCGCAGCUCCAAAGUUCUCUACUACAACCGCUCCGGAGUUCCUGGUCGCUGUCACCCUUUCAGUAGCUCUGUCAAAUCACUUGUACAUAUUGUAAAUAAACUAUUGCA